AUUGAACGCUGGCGGAAUGCUUUACACAUGCAAGUCGAACGGUAGAGGGGGCAACCCCCUUGAGAGUGGCGAACGGGUGAGUAAUAUAUCGGAACGUGCCCAGUCGUGGGGAUAACGUAGCGAAAGUUACGCUAAUACCGCAUACGAUCUAAGGAUGAAAGCGGGGGAUCGCAAGACCUCGCGCGAUUGGAGCGGCCGAUAUCAGAUUAGGUAGUUGGUGAGGUAAAGGCUCACCAAGCCAACGAUCUGUAGCUGGUCUGAGAGGACGACCAGCCACACUGGAACUGAGACACGGCCCAGACUCCUACGGGAGGCAGCAGUGGGGAAUUUUGGACAAUGGGCGCAAGCCUGAUCCAGCAAUGCCGCGUGCAGGAUGAAGGCCUUCGGUGUAACU
rnacentral:rRNA from 1 species